rnacentral:RNase_P_RNA from 1 species
AGAACGGUUCGUCGCAUGUCGGGUUUCGGCUUGACAUGAGGAAAGUCCGAGCAACAUAGAGCAUCUCGCUUCUUAACGGGAAGUGGCUCGCAAGGGUCAGUCAGUGUAGAAGAAAACAACCGCCUUUCGUUUGAAGGGUAAGGGUGAGAAGGUGGGGUAAGAGCCCACCAGCCAUGUGGCGACGCAUUGGGCUGUGCACUCCGAGAGUUGAAAGUUCGCGUAAACUGGCGUUAAAAGGGUAGCUCGCCCAAUCAAAAAGGCUUUUGUCGUUUUGGCGUCAGAGGGUAGAACGAUAGAGCUUGUCGGUGACGGCAGGCGUAGAUAAAUGACGAACAAUCAUGUGCGAUUCGCGAGUUUCGUGUCUUGGUUUACAGAACUCGGCUUAUAGUUCUGCUGA